GACGAACGCUGGCAGCGUGCUUAACACAUGCAAGUCGAACGGAAAGGCCCUGCUUUUGUGGGGUGCUCGAGUGGCGAACGGGUGAGUAACACGUGAGUAACCUGCCCUUGACUUUGGGAUAACUUCAGGAAACUGGGGCUAAUACCGGAUAGGAGCUCCUGCUGCAUGGUGGGGGUUGGAAAGUUUCGGCGGUUGGGGAUGGACUCGCGGCUUAUCAGCUUGUUGGUGGGGUAGUGGCUUACCAAGGCUUUGACGGGUAGCCGGCCUGAGAGGGUGACCGGCCACAUUGGGACUGAGAUACGGCCCAGACUCCUACGGGAGGCAGCAGUGGGGAAUAUUGCACAAUGGGCGGAAGCCUGAUGCAGCAACGCCGCGUGCGGGAUGACGGCCUUCGGGUUGUAAACCGCUUUCGCCUGUGACGAAGCGUGAGUGACGGUAAUGGGUAAAGAAGCACCGGCUAACUACGUGCCAGCAGCCGCGGUGAUACGUAGGGUGCGAGCGUUGUCCGGAUUUAUUGGGCGUAAAGGGCUCGUAGGUGGUUGAUCGCGUCGGAAGUGUAAUCUUGGGGCUUAACCCUGAGCGUGCUUUCGAUACGGGUUGACUUGAGGAAGGUAGGGGAGAAUGGAAUCCCUGGUGGAGCGGUGGAAUGCGCAGAUAUCAGGAGGAACACCAGUGGCGAAGGCGGUUCUCUGGGCCUUUCCUGACGCUGAGGAGCGAAAGCGUGGGGAGCGAACAGGCUUAGAUACCCUGGUAGUCCACGCUGUAAACGGUGGGUACUAGGUGUGGGGUCCAUUCCACGGGUUCCGUGCCGUAGCUAACGCUUUAAGUACCCCGCCUGGGGAGUACGGCCGCAAGGCUAAAACUCAAAGGAAUUGACGGGGCCCCGCACAAGCGGCGGAGCAUGCGGAUUAAUUCGAUGCAACGCGUAGAACCUUACCAGGGUUUGACAUGGAUCGGGAGUGCUCAGAGAUGGGUGUGCCUCUUUUGGGGUCGGUUCACAGGUGGUGCAUGGCUGUCGUCAGCUCGUGUCGUGAGAUGUUGGGUUAAGUCCCGCAACGAGCGCAACCCUUGUUCACUGUUGCCAGCACGUUAUGGUGGGGACUCAGUGGAGACCGCCGGGGUCAACUCGGAGGAAGGUGGGGAUGACGUCAAGUCAUCAUGCCCCUUAUGUCCAGGGCUUCACGCAUGCUACAAUGGCUGGUACAGAGAGUGGCGAGCCUGUGAGGGUGAGCGAAUCUCGGAAAGCCGGUCUCAGUUCGGAUUGGGGUCUGCAACUCGACCUCAUGAAGUCGGAGUCGCUAGUAAUCGCAGAUCAGCAACGCUGCGGUGAAUACGUUCCCGGGGCU
rnacentral:rRNA from 1 species